rnacentral:pre_miRNA from 1 species
AGUUUGGUUUGUUAGCCAAGGAUGACUUGCCUGUUUCAUACAAGAGGCUUUGACUAUGAUCGCCGUUCUCAUCGAUUGAUGCGCACGAUUGCAUGGUCACCAGGCAGGUCAUCGUGGCUUAUCUACCGUGCUCU